GAGAAUAAGACCACCUGGGGCUAAGGUCCGAACACUUGGAGGCAGCACCAUCCAAGGAAUGGGUUGAAACAGCAGGAGCCCGGCGGGGCGCAGUGGCUCACGCCUGUAAUCCCAGCACUUUGGGAGGCCGAGGUGGGCGGAUCACCUGAGGUCAGGAGUUUGAGACCAGCCUGACCAACAUGGUGAAACCCCAUCUGUACUAAAAAUACAAAAAAAAUUAGCCGGGCGUUGUGGCGCGUGCCUUUAAUCCCAGCUACUCGGGAGGCUGAGGCAGGAGAAUCGCUUGAAUCCGGGAGAUGGAGAUUGCAGUGAGCCGAGAUCAUGCCACUGCACUCCAGCCUGGGCAACACGAGCGAAACUCUGUCUCAAAACAACAACAACAAAGAAAAAACAAAACGAAACAGCAGGAACCCGCCAAGAACAGCCUUGAAGGAAGGGAAGAUGGAAGAGUUGAGUCAAGCCCUGGCUAGUAGCUUUUCUGUGUCUCAAGAUCUGAACAGCACAGCUGCCCCACACCCCCGCCUAUCCCAGUACAAGUCCAAGUACAGUUCCUUGGAGCAGAGUGAGCGCCGCCGGCGGUUACUGGAACUGCAGAAAUCCAAGCGGCUGGAUUAUGUGAACCAUGCCAGAAGACUGGCUGAAGAUGACUGGACAGGGAUGGAGAGUGAGGAAGAAAAUAAGAAAGAUGAUGAAGAAAUGGACAUUGACACUGUCAAGAAGUUACCAAAACACUAUGCUAAUCAAUUGAUGCUUUCUGAGUGGUUAAUUGACGUUCCUUCAGAUUUGGGGCAGGAAUGGAUUGUGGUCGUGUGCCCUGUUGGAAAAAGAGCCCUUAUCGUGGCCUCCAGGGGUUCUACCAGUGCCUACACCAAGAGUGGCUACUGUGUCAACAGGUUUUCUUCACUUCUGCCAGGAGGCAACAGGCGAAACUCAACAGCAAAAGACUACACCAUUCUAGAUUGCAUUUACAGUGAGGUAAACCAGACCUACUACGUUCUGGAUGUGAUGUGCUGGCGGGGACACCCUUUUUAUGAUUGCCAGACUGAUUUCCGAUUCUACUGGAUGCAUUCAAAGUUACCAGAAGAAGAAGGACUGGGAGAGAAAACCAAGCUUAAUCCUUUUAAAUUUGUGGGGCUAAAGAACUUCCCUUGCACUCCCGAAAGCCUGUGUGAUGUGCUAUCUAUGGAUUUCCCUUUUGAGGUAACGAAACCAUUGUCUUUAUUGCCUUGACAUGAUGAUAGGCUGCAGAGAGACUUAGUUACACAAAGUCUUAAAAUAUUCCUUGAUUGUGCUGUGUCAAAGCAUCAGAAUGGGACAAAGCUGAUUCUGGAGAAAGGAUGUACUUGCUGCCCUUCAGAGCCUGAGCUCCACCCCUGCUGGAUAAGUCAGAAUGCUGGCACUGGAAGGGCCCUUAAUGGACAGCUCGUCCAACUCCCUCAUCUUAUAGAUGGAGAAACUGAGGUCUGGAGAAACUGAGGCCCAGAUAGGAGCAAGACUUGCAUGCCUAGAUCCUUCUUGUGUGCCUCUUCCUACUGCAAGCUGAGACCCAGGUCCCUGGUUUGGCUGUCGUGGCUGCUUGUAAAGUGAAGGGGCUUCUGUGACUGAAUGACUCCAACAAAUGUCCAAAUCCCUAAUCCUUUCCUCACCAAAGAAGAUGGCCCUUGGGGACAGCAGCACUUGCUGAGCAGGAGCAUGAGUCAGGUAGAUGGACUUCUCUUCUACCACAAACAGACCCACUACAGCCCCGGAAGCACUCCCUUGGUGGGCUGGCUGCGCCCCUACAUGGUGUCAGAUGUCCUUGGUGUAGCUGUGCCGGCUGGCCCGCUGACCACCAAGCCAGACUAUGCUGGGCACCAGCUCCAGCAGAUUAUGGAGCACAAGAAGAGCCAGAAGGAAGGCAUGAAGGAGAAACUCACACACAAGGCCUCUGAGAAUGGGCACUAUGAGUUGGAGCACCUGUCUACUCCCAAGUUGAAGGGUUCUUCCCAUAGCCCAGACCACCCUGGAUGCCUCAUGGAGAAUUAAAGAGAGAAGCCUCCUUAAGGAGCCACAGGAUGGUACCUGGCCCCAAAAGGAAUCCUGGAGAGGAGGACAGUGACAACAGGUGACUUCAUUCUUUAGAGUGAACUUUCCAAACCCAGUCCAGCUGGAAACAGCUUAUCUAUAAUCUGAAAUGCUGGCUCAAACAGUUAUGGGGAGGUUCCCAGAUUGCGUAGCAUUCAGAUUGAUUUGAGCAGCUCCUACUGUGAUAAGUGUAUCCCAGAUCCACAAUGUAAAUAUAUGUGAUUUGUAAGAAAGAA